AUCAAACAAAGGAUUAGGACACGUUGAGAGAGGUUCUAACCAAGGCAUGUCUAUUGCUGGUUGAAAACUAUUUCCAACCCCCCUCUUAGGCCUCCCCUCUUAGGCCUGGGUUUGGCCCUGGCCUUCGAGAAUUUCUGGAAGGGCUCCCUUUAGCC